rnacentral:rRNA from 1 species
CCCGGCGUAAUACGGAGGGUGCAAGCGUUAAUCGGAAUUACUGGGCGUAAAGCGCACGCAGGCGGUCUGUCAAGUCGGAUGUGAAAUCCCCGGGCUCAACCUGGGAACUGCAUUCGAAACUGGCAGGCUAGAGUCUUGUAGAGGGGGGUAGAAUUCCAGGUGUAGCGGUGAAAUGCGUAGAGAUCUGGAGGAAUACCGGUGGCGAAGGCGGCCCCCUGGACAAAGACUGACGCUCAGGUGCGAAAGCGUGGGGAGCAAACAGGAUUAGAUACCCUGGUAGUCCACGCCGUAAACGAUGUCGACUUGGAGGUUGUGCCCUUGAGGCGUGGCUUCCGGAGCUAACGCGUUAAGUCGACCGCCUGGGGAGUACGGCCGCAAGGUUAAAACUCAAAGGAAUUGACGGAAGGGC